ACCACACCCAGGAACCUGUCUUCCCCUGGUGGUGGAGGUGCUGUUUCCACACACACAAACUAUAUAUAGUAUAAUACAGAAGGCUCACACAACCCACCACACAAACUGUCCACAGCUCGACGGAAGCACUUGUCUCCCUCCUCCGUGUCUACGUGUUGACAAUGUCCACUUCCAGGAACUUGCUGGGGAAAGCGCUGAUGGUACUCCUCAUUGUGGUAUCCCUCGACCAGGCUAAAGUUGAAGGGCUGCCCCAGGGAGUUGGUACACACCCACAACCAAAUCCUCUCCUAAACGACCCCUACCUUAACCCGGUUGGACCUGGUUCCGUUGUUGCAGGCCCAUAUGGACGACCAAAAGUGAGCAAUGAAUUUGGAAUUUGGACUAAUGAAGGACAUCAGAGCUUCGAGGUCUUUCCAGGUCAUCCAGGCCAUCCAGGCCAUCCAGGCCAUCCAGGCCAUGGUAGUACUCACCCUGGAGUCCACCAGCCCUAUGCACCUGUAGGUCACCAGAACCAUGCGGCUCAGGGUCAUCCUUCUACAGGAUAGAGACUAAGUAGUUGCUGUUGUGGGUGGUGAUGGUGAGGAAGGAGGCUGGCUGGAGAAGUGGUCAUCGGCUCUGUAUAUUUUGGCAAGUGGUGCAUCUGCCACCACCAUCUACAGCAGACGGCAGCAGACACCUAACGUCUGCCACCACCACCACCACCAUAACAUAGAACUACUCGCUCUGUUGACACGAUUUAGGCCUCAUCAUGUAAACCAACAAAAUGUCAGCUUCAAGUAAGACCAAGAGUAACCUUCUUUAACUACAUUGUGUCUUCUGUGCUGAUGUUUUGUUUGUAAACCUUUUAUUAUUUGUUCUCUUUAACACUUAAUAUAAAACAUUGUGGCCAUAAUAAUAAAAAUAACUGGAUAAAACAA